UUCAACUGCGGACAAACACGUAUUAGUAAAAUUCAACUAAUCGGGUUAUCAAGUGUACUUUUUACACUGGCCAGUGCCGCUACUACCGAGUUCAAGCCUUUCACUGGGUGUGUAUGGUGUAAAGAAUCAUUCCACACUAGAACGAGGAAUAUGGAUUCAAAACGAUGAAUGACUUUUAUAAGUCCAAACGGGCAUAAUGAAUAUGUAGCGAAAUAAAAGGAUUCAUAAACAAAAUGGAAGAUUUGUACUACGACCCUUUCUAGAGCUCCACCCAAGGACUGGCAGAGUUUUACUGAAGGAUCACUCCUCGAUCACAGUUUCCAAAGUUACCGGACUGACCGCCCUCGCCAUCGACGACGGCUCCCAGUAGAAGCGUAGCGUACCAUUAAAUAAGAAAACUGCGCUGUAACAAGGAAUCGCACACAGUGGAACAGGCCUGAUGCUAGGUCCGGGCGUAUUCGACGAAGUUAGAAAUUUUCACUAAACUGAUUAAUGGUACCAAAGAAGAAUACCCAUGGUGACAGAUUUCGCGAUUAAACGAGCCAUUCAACUGUCGACUGAGGCGAUUAGGCUCAUAAUAUCUCGGAUUUUGAACAUGGAUGGGAAGAAAAAAAGGAGAUUAUAUAGAAGAUUAUUGUUAAUAAUUAAUUGUUGAAAUUUAUUCAUUGUUAAAAUCUAUUCAUAACAUUCUCCUAAAUUUAUAUUGCAAGUAUUGAUUGAAUAUGUGUCAUAAACUGAACAAAC